UACAGAGGAUGCAAGCGUUAUCCGGAAUGAUUGGGCGUAAAGCGUCUGUAGGUGGCUUUUUAAGUCCGCCGUCAAAUCCCAGGGCUCAACUCUGGACAGGCGGUGGAAACUACCAAGCUGGAGUACGGUAGGGGCAGAGGGAAUUUCCGGUGGAGCGGUGAAAUGCGUAGAUAUCAGGAGGAACGCCGGCGGCGAAAGCGACUCUCUGGCCUGUAACUGACGCUGAGGUGCGAAAGCGUGGGGAGCAAACAGG
rnacentral:rRNA from 1 species